ACUGUUGAUCCUAAUACAUAUAGGAGUCAUCACAUUAUAGAGAAUAUAUAUAUAUUAUGCGGCAGGGGCUAUGUCUGUGCCAUCAUCAUCGUCAUCGUCAUCGCCAUCUCCAUCAUUCUGCUUGCAAACGUAAGAGCAGGUUACAAUAACCUGCUCCCUGGGGAGAAGUAGAUUGUAAAAACGAAGUCUUUUGCGGUCAACUAUCACCAUUUCAGCAAUGAUAUUAAACGAAGGAAAAGAACUAGUUAAAAGCUAAAUCGACG
rnacentral:misc_RNA from 1 species